GUGCUCUGGGCGUCGUGCGGAGGCGGCACCCUUGUCCGGGUAGGGCCGUUCAACCGAAACAACAAAAGACCCGUCCCCUACCCAGGGGCGGGAUCCUUACCGGGUUGAACGUAAUUGGAUGAUGAAGGGUUGAUGAGUGACAUGUACUCUGGGACGAGGCGCUUUCGAGAGCCAACUCCUCUUCCUUUCUGACAACGUUGCCACACUGCAUGAAAGGGUGACAAGCCGCAAAUCGCCAACGAGAGACCAGCAAGUGUGAACCUGUUACGUUUUGUGGUAAAUCCUGCAUGAUGAACAGCACACGUGCACAUGCAGCAUGUUGAUGACGUGGCAUAUUCUUCUGCCAAGUCUUGCUUACCCUUGAACUUCAUCAAGAACUACAAGCAACAUAAUAUGUGCUUAAUGUAAAAGAAUUCCUUGCUCUAAAAUAAACAACUUGUUUCUCA